rnacentral:misc_RNA from 1 species
AACUUUUAGCAAUGGAUCUCUUGGCUCUCGCAUCGAUGAAGAACGCAGCGAAAUGCGAUAAGUAAUGUGAAUUGCAGAAUUCAGGGAAUCAUCGAAUCUUUGAACGCACCUUGCGCUCCUUGGUAUUCCGAGGAGCAUGCCUGUUUGAGUGUCAUUAAAUUCUCAACCUUCCAGCUUUUAUUAGCUUGGUUAGGCUUGGAUGUGGGGGUUGCAGGCUUCACUUCUGAGGUCGGCUCUCCUUAAAUGCAUUAGCGGAACUUUUGUGGCCCGUCUAUUGGUGUGAUAAUUAUCUACGCCGUGGAUGUGAAGCAGCUUUAUAAAGUUCAGUUUCUAACAGUCCAUUGAAUUGGACAAUUUUGACAAUUUGACCUCAAAUCAGGUAGGACUACCCGCUGAACUUAAGCAUAUCAAUAAGCGGAGGCU